rnacentral:lncRNA from 1 species
GGGACAAAGGUGGUAAGCUACUGGCCAAUGCCCAGAGGGCGGCGAAAGUCACCUCGAAGCAAAAACCAGGUCAGUUACUUCUUGAGGGAGAAGAUGAUCGGGAUAUCACCAUUGAACGAUUGCAAGUGCAACUAACGGAGAUGGCGCAGAUUUUGGUGGAUAACCGACUUAUGAAACCAACGCGAAUGGACGAUGGAGAACCUUACAAAACAAGAUCUGGGGGAGUCAGGGAUCCGCAAGUGGGAGCCCGCAAGGAGAAAUGGUGUGAUACGCGGGUUGAACUCGAGAGCCAUAGGGACAGUAGGUCCGAAGUAUCGAGCAAACGAAGGUUCUCGCCAACGCAAAGAGGAAUCAGGAAGGAGACUUGAGGGAGAAAAUUAACAACUGAACAGUAGCUGGAAGGAUUAAAACUAUUGUGUUAGUCGGAUCGGUGGCUCAUCUAGUUGCACUAACGCAGAAAGAACCAGUCCCGAGAUACCAGACCCCUUUCUCCUAGGAGAUUAAGGGAAUAGAUCCCCUAGAGAAAUUUGUGCCACCCAGGUUCACCCUAUAUGAUGGGAAAUUGAAUCCACUAUCCCACGUAAGUCAUGUUAGGCAGAUGAUGGCCUUAUGGAAUCAUAUGGAUGCUCUCAUGUGUCGAGUAUUCCCAUCUAACCUGGGAGACCUUGGGUUGAAGUAGUUUGACAAAUUACCGGCUGGAUCAAUAGAGAACUUCUACCAGCUCACUAAGUCAUUCAUGGCCCGAUUCGUCAUAAAUACCAAAGUGCCAAAAGCCAUUGGAUCUUUAUUGACGCUAAAGAAAGGGAAGAAUGAAUUGAUCCGUAACUAAAUCAAACGAUAUUGAGAACAUAUAAUGAUACAGAAGAUAGCUCCGAGGAGCUGGCGGUAAUGAGCUACAAGCUCAGGCUCACACCUAGAGAAAAACUUUGGAAAAACCUAACGCUCGAUCCUCCAAUCGACCUCUGGGAUCUCAUGUCCCGGGUCGAGAUGUUCGCCUGGUUGGAGGACGAUGUUAGGUAGGCCAAAAAGAUAGCAGGAGGAAUCGCCCGAGGAGAGGUCCAUUCAAAAAGCGGAAGGAAGGUCCAGGCCAGUUCAAGAACAAGGCAAGGCAAGGGAUUAAUGUCGUUUUCAAAGAGCCAAUCUACAAACUCAUGGCCAAGAUACGAGACAAGCCAUACUUCAAGAAACCUGAGCCUCUAGGGGGAGAUCCAAAAAGACAAAACCAGUGCUGAAAGUGCUCAUACCAUAAUGAGAAGGGGCAUAAAAUCGAAAAUUGUAGGGAUCUCAAAGCCUUCUUGGAGUAGCUAGUGAGACAGACACCUUAAAGAGUUCGUCGAUGAAGAAAAGAAUCGAGCAGAGAUAACCGAGGCUAGACCCAACCCGAGGUUUGACCGAGGUGGGGACAAUGUUCAAAAGGCUAUGGACGUGGAUGAUGAAGAUUUGCCCUUGGGCACUAUUCAUAUGAUUGGGGGACCCAAUAAUCCAAGCCUAGAAAAUAAAGACCGGAGCAAGAUCUAUAUGAUAAGGCAAAUGCACGAGGUGCUCUCGAUCAAAUCACUACCAAAGAGACCAAGGCGAGCAAAAACCGAACAAGACAGCAUCACCUUCUCCAAGGCCGAUCUUGAAAGAAUGCAACAUCCACAUUCUAAUCCAUUAGUAGUUCAGCUGAGAAUCGGAGACGCCAAAACAAAACCACUGGAGUCACCUCGCGGAGGGGAUGGAAGCUCAGAAACCGCACCGUCCGAAUUUAGAUCAUCAAUUGAGGACUCAAAGGUCAUUCAAGGACCGCCCUAGGUUGGCAAAAUGGCCGCGGCAGGGGAUGUACUUGGGGAUUCAGAGGUUGUUCCAGAACCACCCCAGAUAGAUCACGCCUCUGCGUGGAAGUUGUAUGUAGACGGAGCCAGAAACAGUUAGGGAGCAGGGGAAGGAAUAGUUUUAAAAAGCCCGGAAGGGGCAAUCUUCGAGCAUUUCCUCUGACUCAACUUCCCAGCGACGAAUAAUGAGGCCGAGUACAAAGCCUUUAUUGCGGGACUACGAUCUGCUAGUAAGUUAAAGGUUCUCGAGCUUCACAUAUUAAGCAAUUUGAAGUUGGUUAUGAACCAAGUCAUAGGAAAAUUCGAGGCUCGGGGAAUCAAAAUGGCGAAGUACUUGGCAAUAGCGAAAAACCUCAUUACCAGAUUCAGAGCGGCAAAGAUCGACCAAGUUGGGAGGGAAUUGAAUGCACAUGCAAACGCGCUUGUGGGCCUGGCGUCCGUGUUUGAAGGAGAGAUUAGGAGAACCAUCACAGUUGAUCUCAUCUUGGUUUCAAGUAUAAAAAUGGCGCACAAACCUGUUUUAGCCAACAUGAAACUUGGCCCGAGCUAGAUGGAUCCUAUCGUGAACUUUUUACGACUUGACAAGCUACCGGAUGACAAAAGGAAGGCACACAAGCUCAGGAUAAAGGCAACAAGGUUUUGGAUUUCCCCUUUUGGGGAACUUGUACAAGAGAUCUUACCAAGGCCCUUACCUUUUGUGCAUCCACCCGAGCCUCAUCGAAGACGUACUUUUUGAGAUCUACGAGGGAAUGUGUGGGCUACACUCUAGGGGUAGAUCAUUAGCGCACCGAGCUCUAACACAGGGCUAUUGGUGGCCUUACAUGCAAAAAGAUGCUCAAGUGUACGUGCGCAAAUAUACCAAAUAUCAACUCUUUUCUCCCUUGAUUCAUCAGCCUGCGAGGGAUUUAACCCCUCUCACUAGUCUAUGGCCCUUCGCCUAAUAAGGAAUGGAUAUUGUGAGAGUCUUUCCCCAAACUCCUGGCAACAAGAAAUUUUUGUUAGCAGCAACUGACUAUUUCACGAAAUGGGUAGAAGCCAAGCCGCUAGCCUAAAUUAGGGAGGUUGACGUGCUUAGAUUCAUACGAAGGAAUAUCUUAUCCAGGUUCGACAUUCCUCGGGCUUUUGUGUCGGACAACGGGACCCAGAUCGUAGGCAACAAAGUGAAGAAUUUGUUAGAGCAACUGAAGAUCGAUUUCUAUAAUUCGACACUAAGCUACCCGCAAUGCAAUGGGCAGGCUGAAGCCACCAACAAGAUGAUAAUGGGAUUAAGAAGAGACUCGAGAAAGCUAAAGGAAAAUGGGUUGACGAGAUGCUAAACGUUUUGUGGGCCUAUUGAACCACAUCGCAGAAGGCGACGAGCAAAAUGCCAUAUUCUCUGGCUUUUGGAUCGAAGUCGUAAUUCCGUUGGAGGUCAGUCUGCCCACAAUUUGGACAGAGGCUUACGAUGCCGUUCACAACGACGAAGUCCUAGCUAGAGACCUCGACCUUGCUGAGGAAAGAAGAGAGAAUGUGCUCAUCCGACUGGUUGAUUAUCAAAAAUAGCUAGCCAAAACUUACAACCAGAAGGUUCAACAUAGAGAAUUUUUGAUUGGAGAUCUCAUCCUCAGAAAAGUUGUUGGAAACACUAGAGAUUCUGCUAAUGGAAAGCUCGGCCCAAACUAGGAAGGACCUUACAAGAUACUUAAGCUCGCCGGCAAGGGCUCUUACUACUUAGAAGAUGCAAAAGGCAAAGAAGUCCCGAGUCCUUGGAAUUCUAACAAUCUAAGAAAAUAUUUCCACUGAAAUGUAAUCCUUUAACCGAUCUACAAUCUAUGUAAAGAUUUUUGUGCAAAUUUCAUAUCAAUUGCGAUAUGACUGAGCCUCUCAAUUGAACUUGCAUGGGUAAAAAUCACUCUCUUCAUCAAAUUUUGGUAAGGUUAACUUAAUUAAAAUGCGGGAAGGGUUAGCCGAGUUCGAAGAGAGCUCCGAACCCGCUUCGUCAGUUUUAAUUUAGUUACACUAACAAAAAUUCAAGGGAAAGCUAGCCGAACCCGAAUUAGGGUUUCGAGCUUGUCCUAAGAGAUUUGAAUUUUGGUAAGUUUAACUUAGUUAAAAUGUGGGAGGGGUUAGCCGAGUUCGAAGAGAGCUCCGAACUCAUAACAAAAAUUCAAGGGAAAGCUAGCCGAACCCGAAUUAGGGUUCCGAGCUUGUCCCAAGAGAUUUGAAUUUUGGUAAGGUUAACUUAGUUAAAACGCGGGAAGGGUUAGCCGAGUUCAAAGAGAUCUCUGAACCCACUUCGUCAGUUUUAACUUAGUUACACUUAAAUAAAAAUUCAAGGGAAAGCUAGUCGAACCCGAAUUAGAGUUCUGAGCUUGUCCCAAGAGAUUUGAAUUUAGGUAAGGCUAACUUAGUUAAAAUGCGGGAGGGGUCAGCCGAGUUCAAAGAGAGCUCCGAACCCACUUCGUCAGUUUUAACUCAGUUACACUUUAACAAAAAUUCAAGAAAAAGCAAACCGAGCUCGAAGCAGUGGAAAUUACAACAGUUUGGAGGACGAAUUCCCAUACAAAAGGAAACUUUUUAUUCAAAUACAAAGAUAUCCAAAUGUAGAGCAACUUGGGUUACAAUUAUGAGUCGAGUACAAGGUAAAAACAAAUUUUGCCAAAGAGAGAUGAUUGAGAGCCGUGGUGAAGACUGCACCCUCGACAUUGCUUCAUUUUUGCAGCAACACUCUUAAUCGAGUUUUGAGUUGUCUUUCCUGACGUCGGCAGGGCUACGACAGAUUACCUAUCAACUAUAAGGGAGCCCAUCGCCUUGAAUGGGAGGACAACACGAAGCCCAUCGAGUACUGCAAGAGGCACAAUGAAGGGCACUCAAUGCAACUCCCUUUAACCUUGUGGCUAGCUGCCUCAAGAUGGAUCGAGCGACUGUCACCAAGUAGAUAUCCAUAAGACAUCGAGAGGGGGCAAGGGUUGGAGAGUUCGCAGCCCAGUAUGGAGAGGCCAACUCAACUGGACACCCAGCACUAGCCAAAUCCCGGUCUGAAGCUUCAUGCUACAGAGCUUUAGGGCACAGAAGUUUCGGACUAUAGAAUCUUUUGGGGACAGAUGAGGACGAGCUGGAGAUAUUUGUCAAGACCACCCAUUAUCAAAGUUGCUCAUUACUUUCCAAAGAGUAAUCAUCUGGACUUACAUUUACAUUGAGCCCCCA